AAAACAAAACAAACAAAAUCCCAAAAAUAUUUCAGUGAGAAGAAUGAUUCACAGUUUAUUGCAUGUUAAAACCACACAAGCUCCUAGAGCCAGCAAACUCUCAAGGUCACUAUCCUUGGAAGACCAUUGCUGAACACCAAUGAUGGAUCCACAGUUGGUGCCCCCACUCCUCAAGGCCCAACCCUUGGCCUGUUGAAAAGAUGCAAAGGCAUCCCAUGGGAGUACUUCACUGAACUCAAGGGGCAUUUUCCACCCUGUACAAACUCAUUUACAUCUGUGUGAGCAUGAACAGGCUACAGCAAAGGGACUAUGAAAGUUCCUCUCCUACAUUCUCAAGUACUUCACAUUUGUAACUAAGUUAGCGCUAUAAGGAGUUACUGUUGUUUCACAGACCCUUUUGUUAAAUUAUUUCAAUUAGGCUGUUACGUUUAAAUGCAGUUAAAACCUUCAGGCUUAAACCAUUGGUCAAGUCCGUGCCUAAGUUUAGCAAGGGGAUCCCCUUUGACUCAGCGGGAAGGUCUCCCUCAAUCCUGUUUCUCCUUACCCUUUCCUGUCUCUACCCUUUUUCAAUCUACAGCCUCCAUGAAAAUAAUGUUAUGUUGAUUCUAGUUUUCAACUGAUUUUAGUCCGAUUUUUCUCGGGGGGUAGGGAAGGAAGGGAGCAUCUAUAUUACCUCAGUACUGAAACUGAAAACUCCUCAGGAGCUUUGUGCUGGCCAAGCACUUGGCAGAGCAGCUUGUUCUGAAACCACAGCUUUGGGAGAUUACAAGAGCAAAUCAAAACAGAGGCCUUCUGCUAAUUGAAACUACAGAUUGAUUUUAAGGAAGUGCAAUUAAUUUUAAUCUAAAGCUCUAAUUCUCUAUACCACAUUGAAGAGCAUUAUUUUUAUGCUCUGCAUUACUGAAACUCCCCAAAUACUUCUUCAUUAUUCUACUUGGGAGGCAUUUGUUAGACUAAGAGGCAGACAUUUGGCAAGGCCCACACCACCUGCCAUUUUAACCAUAGCUCACCCAUCAGGACACGGCCAAGCUCUGGAAUUUCCUCCACAUUUCAAAACAAAGAGAGCAGUUUGCAGGAUUCUCACCAGCAACUUCCAUGAGUUUCUGGUGAGAGCCCUAUUGACUAGAAGUUUAUUGGUGAUUAAUAUCACACACGCUCCUUCAUACAGUAUGAGAAAAUAAUAUGGAACCAAAGGUGGCACAAAGACUCGUGUGUUAGAAGCCCUAGGCACUUCCUCCCACCCCAGAUUCCCAAGUUAGCUUCAAGGAAGGUCUUGCUACUCUUUUAUUAAUGAAAAUUUCAUCUUAUAAUUUAAUAGAAUACAGUAUUUAUGGUGAAUAAAUGAAAAGGCAGAUCUAUAUUUCAGGGGUUCAAAUAAUUAUAAAACCAAAGAAAUAAGAUAUUAUCUCAUAAAAAUAUAAAUUUUUGAAGUGUAAACAACAACAAACUAGUAUUGUCAAUGACUGCAGCCUUGAAAAUAACCCAGAAUAAUUACCUUGAGAUUUCUGUCCCUUAGAGGACCCACAGAGCACAACAAGGUGUAAUCAACAUAACAGAUAUUUGGUUUGAGUAUGAACCAUGCUAGUAAAUGUUAUAAAUGGAGAAAACAGUAGGCAAACCAAUAAAACUAUGCUUCUAGAUUUGUGAAUAUAUGAUUCACAAAUCCACUAGGCAAGAUGAAGGGAAGAAUGGGGGCUGAUUAGAAGAACUUAACUCUUCAGAGAUGUUUUAAGUCACAAAGGAUCUGCCAUUAAAUUAUCCCUCCAAUGCUUUUAGAAGCAUUGUUGGGGCCCCAGAUACUUGGAAAUUAUCAAAGGAUCAGCAAUCUGAAGAAAAAACUUCCAUCUCUAAGUGACAAAAACACACCACCUUUUUUCAUUUUGCUGGACUAAUAAAACACACUGUAAAACAUGGUCAGUCCAGAACUGGAGGUCUAAUGGCAAAAUAAGUGCUUCAUGUGAGCGUGUGUCGUGGUUUGAAGGGAAGUGAGUUUUUUUGGAAGUAGUGGUCAAACCAAUUAGUCUUUAGAUCUGAAUAUUGGCACCUUUGUUGGCCACUAAGAGGUGGACACGCCUCUGAGGACACGAGGGGUUAAAAGCCGGAUUUCCCAGCAGGACUCCCUCUUUCCCUGCUCUGCUUUCGGAGAGGGAGCGUCUUCUCCUCUCCCCUGCCGGCCUGGCUAGGCCGGGUGGGGGAGGGGAGCAAGGUGGGCCUGGCUGUGCAAGAGAGAAGGUGCCGAGUUGGAGCUGCUUGUGAGAACUGCAGUGUCUGCGAUCGCCUGUGCCUGACCUUGGUGGUGGGAGAUAAAAGCUUUUAACUCUUUCUAAGGCAGAAGAGAGUUAUCCCUGGACGCUGUAUUCUCAUAGUUGGUGGUUUUAGAAGAGAGAGGACAGCCUGGGACCGAGAGGGUAAUGUGAGAUGAAAAGAAGCCCCUUCGAGUGCCGGAAUGAAGAGGAGUGGCUUAUGAGGCCGGACUUUUCUUGCAUAAUGAUAGCCAUAGACGGACCCUGGACCCUCCUGACUAUAAAUAAGACUGUGUUUGGGUGGAUGUUUUUGGCUCAAACCCAGAGACGUUCUGGCCUGCUUCUUGGAGCCCCCGGCCCCAGGGGUAAAUGGGGGGGACCUGAGUCCCAAAAUGAGAGGAUGGCUGGUUUUUGGUACUUGGCCAAAACAUCCUUAAAAAGAGCCCUGUUGCAGUGCAGGUCCAUGGACGGCAGUGAGAGUGCCGGACAUGGAAAGGAGGGUGUCACCCUGGCAGACCCUUCCAGGCAGUGCCAUGGGUGACUUGGGAACACGGGAUGGUGGACCUGUGUUUCCUGUGGGGGGGUGGUCUGUGGUGCGAGAGAGACUCCUCUCGUCCUGGAUGGAAUGUGGAUUGUCUGAAUUUUAAAGGAUGAUGAUUUGGAUUAGGAACCCAGGGUUGUUGAGGGAUUAAGCAAGUAGAUGAAGGUAAUGUGCUGGAGACAACUGAGUGAGCAUGUAUGGAAUGGAAUUGGGGGGAGGAGAAGCAGUGUUUUUGGGAGGUUUUCUCUUCUGCUUUUGGGUGGUUGGGUUUUUCUUUCCUUUUCUAUUGUCCAUUGUUAUGUAAUAUAAUAAAUUGUCUGUCUGUUUCAAGAA